rnacentral:rRNA from 1 species
AGUGAACGCUGGCGGUAGGCCUAACACAUGCAAGUCGAACGGCAGCACAGUAAGAGCUUGCUCUUACGGGUGGCGAGUGGCGGACGAGUGAGGAAUACAUCGGAAUCUACUUUUUUGUGGGGGAUAACGUAGGGAAACUUACGCUAAUACCGCAUACGACCUACGGGUGAAAGCAGGGGAUCUUCGGACCUUGCGCGAUUGAAUGAGCCGAUGUCGGAUUAGCUAGUUGGCGGGGUAAAGGCCCACCAAGGCGACGAUCCGUAGCUGGUCUGAGAGGAUGAUCAGCCACACUGGAACUGAGACACGGUCCAGACUCCUACGGGAGGCAGCAGUGGGGAAUAUUGGACAAUGGGCGCAAGCCUGAUCCAGCCAUACCGCGUGGGUGAAGAAGGCCUUCGGGUUGUAAAGCCCUUUUGUUGGGAAAGAAAAGCAGCAGGUUAAUACCCCGCUGUUCUGACGGUACCCAAAGAAUAAGCACCGGCUAACUUCGUG